AAAUUUACAUCAGACAAUUUGUAUCUUCAGAUGAUCGAAGCGGGCGUGUUAAAGGCACUUGGUUACAGUGUGGCAAAUGACAAUUUUACCCGAAAUUGUAAUAUUUAAAAAAGAAUGUAUUAAUUUUAUUCAUACCAGCGAGAUUGCAUUAAUAAGUUCUAUAACUGAGUAAAAUGUUUAGCAAAAUAUUUUUAUGGAAUAUCAUGACUCAAAAUUGGUAAAACUAAACAGUUUUUAAAAACAUUUCAUCAAUAAUUUGGAAAAUUAUUAAUUUAUUUUUUGCUGCAAAGUAUUAAAGCCUGAGUGUUGUAGUGUUUAUGUAUUAUAUUUUGCCUCCAAAGGUCACUGGUUUGAAUCCUAGGCCAUGUUUUUUUCAACCUUUUUCUGGACUUUAUAAUUAUUUAAGUCUAUUCAAAAUAAUAGAUAUUUGUUGAAAUUUACAUUUAAUGAAUUUAAAUAAUCAAUUAUGUGAACAAGUCCCUUUAACUGAACUCAUGCAAUAAAAUUUUACCCUAUUUUCAGAAAAUGGUGUAUACCCAUACCAUCAGCCAAAAUGUUAUGUUAAGCGUAUAGCAUUGUUAUCAGCGAAAUGUUAACCUACAUACAACAUCUUUUCCUUUCUUCGCUUUGUACUUGCCGUGUGUAUUUUAAGUGUGUUGUGGGCUUAAACAGCCAAUAUAGAACAAUUGCGAGUUUAAAGUCUAGUACAUUGAUUAUUAUACUAACUUAAAACUGUGUGUGUGUGUGUGUGUGUGUGUCUUUAUGCAACAUAUUCUGGUUCUGAUAAUAUACAAUUGUAUUUAACAAGAAGAGCCAAUAUAACAGUGAAUAAACAACAUUUAGUAGGAGGACAGUUAACAAUAACUAUUGAAAAUGGCAACUUAUGUAGAUGCAAUUCAUAAAAGUUCAGAUCAGAUUAAUCCAGACCAGAUGUAUGUGAAGAAGAAGUCCGAGUAUAAUGUGAAAAUAAAAAGCGACGUAAGUCAGACAUGUUACAUCUCGGGCAUUUGCAUCUUGCCUAGUGGUGAGACCAUUGUUGCAGAUUAUACUAAUAAGAGAGUGAAAAUGUUGGACAAGCAUUACAAUGUGUAUGGCGACUUGAAAGUAGAUGGUAAUCCGCAGGACAUUUGCCAAAUCUUGCCCGAACAGGUUGCUAUAACUUUUGAGAAUAGAGUUCAAUUUAUCAAUGUUAUCAAAAAAGGCCGGUUACCAUAUGCUAUUCAUGGCAUAAGCGUUUAUGAAACUAGGGAGUUACCACAUGCUACUCUUGGUAUUACCUACCAUCAGGGUGAUUUGUAUAUCACCUCAGGCACUGCUCUCUAUCACUACGACCUCAGUGGGACAGAUUUGACACAUAAGAAAUCCCUAUAUGAGGAUACUGGAAGUGGCAUUACAGAUCUUUGGAUGACCAGGAUCCGUAUUCGCCAAUAAUAAACUCAAACUUAAACUCAAACUCAGACUUUGACUCAGACUUAGACUUACAGAAGACAGACUCAGUAUUUGUAUUCACGAACGCGUUUGAAACUUUUACAACUUUUACGAUGGAGUGUCCGUCAGUUGAAGAAAGCGAAAUGAAGCGUCAGAAGGCUCCAGAUUUGACCGAGCCAGCAGAGAUUGUUUUGAACGCGCUGGUUCGGGACCACUGGAGUCUUUUAUUCGGCGAAUACAAGGGAAUCGGAGCCGAAACAAUUUCCGUUAUUCGAAGAAAAAAAAUGGGACGAGGUGGCGAGCAGAAUAUCAUUAGAAUUCGGGGUCGCAAGAACCGGAGAACAGUGCCGUAAGAAGUUUCAAAAUUCCAAGUAAAGGCUCGGUACAUAAAAAAGUUGGAGAAAUGCGGCACCCAGCCAAGGGCGGUGGUGAUGCAGUCCAGUUUACAUCGUCGCAGGAGAUGCUUGCCUCAACGAUGGAAGGCCGCCCUGUUGUUCAAGGAAUAACAUGGGGAAUAGACUCGGACGCUUCUUCAUAUGCAUUACAAAGAAGUGAGUGUGCCAAAACAGCCCGCAGUGAAGAACUCAAUGGUAAAUAAAUAGAUUAUCAUAUAUAUGCAAACCAUCACAAUAAACAUCACAGUGAACAUGCAAACCUUAUGUAUACAUCCAAUUGAACACAGUGUACAAUAUAAUAGAUAUCUAUCCUUAUAUAAAACAUUACAAAAGAAAGAACAUGCAAUAAAUUAACAUUUAACAUUUUGCUUGCAAAUUAACGCUGGGAGUAUUAUACAUUAACUUAAGUAUAGUAUAUUAACAUUAGUUGUCCAUUGUAUUGCAUGGAAAACAUCACUGGAUUUAAUUAAUUUUGAUUUUUAAAGUGGCAAUCUAAUUUUUAUGCCCCAAGAUCGAAUGAUCAGGGGGUACAUUUUGUAAAUUAUUUUUGGCCUGUCUGUCUGUCUGUCUGUGUGCCUGUCUGUCUGUCAUUGCAUGUGUGUGUCUGUCCCAAAACUUUAACCUUGCUGAUAAAAUGAAAACUCUUGGGUCUAUGUUCUCUAAACUUCACAUGUGCAUGCAUCUCAUUGAGAUCUACAAUCAAACAUGGUUUGAGAUCACUCGGUCAAAGGUCAAGGCAACUGUGACCUUUACAUUCAAAAUAUAACCUUGUUAAUAAAAUGAAAAGUUGAAUUUCUAAAGUAGCUGCCAUGCGGCUUCAGAACGCAGUAGGGGGCAUUGUGUUUUACAAACAAAGCUCGUUGUUUUUUUCAGAUUCCACAUGUAAUGUCAAUAGAGACAAGAAGCGAAAAGAAUAUAAGUUUUGGAUAUGUUUAAAUAAAUAUUUCAAUGUGUCCGUAGCAAUAAUCUUAACCACUAAAAAGGUUGUCAAUUUGAAACUUAAUAUUAUGGUAGCUCUAAUUUGUAAGUGCACUGCAAAAGAUCACAAAAUGUUCAUUCUUAUUUUUGUUCAAAGGCAUAGUUUGUCUAUAAUAACAAGUAUAAAGAAGACACGUUAAAAGUAUGAAACUUGCAUUGAUGGAAUACCAGUUCUUAAAACUGGAUUGACAAUACUAUCUGAGAAAGCAAGCAUCGUAUAAAUAAUAUGUUAUUAUUUAGUAUGCAAAAAUAUCAUGCACACUUUAAAAUAUGACUAGCAUUAAAUAUGCCAAAAUUAAUUACUAAUGAAAAGAUGCGAUAUGUAUUGAUUUAAAAUUUGAAUGUCAUAACCUGAGAAUACGUCCAUUUAUCAAAAUUACACUGUUUAACCUUUUUUCAGCAUUUACAAAGUAGGCCGAUAAAAGAUUUUCCUGCAAUACAUUAACUACGCUGACAUCUGCAAACAUGGAAAAAGACAUUGAAAUGUUAAAUCUAGAAAUAAACAAAUAAAAGGUAGAAAUUGAAAAAAUCCAAAAAGAAAAAAACAUUACUGCAUUUAAAAAUGAAAAUGAAAAACAUUAUUCCUUAUGUUUACAGAAAAAAACAUUAUAUAUCAAUGGCAAAGUUUUAAACAGCUUGUAGACAUUGAAGAUGCUGAAUUUGUGGAUAGUUAGCAACUGCCAAAAUUAUUGUUAAACAAUAACACAUUUCAGAAAAGAUACAAAUUCAUCAUCUUCAAAAGUCCAUAUUUUAAUAAUUUUUUCUAUGUAAGUUGAUAAAAAACUGAUGACAUGUUUCUUAGUUUACGAAUGACAACCGGCUAAAAUUAACAUGUAGUUGUUAAAUAAAUUAUUUUUUGUUAACAAUAAACGUGUAUCAUAGAAAAACAAUUAGAUUAAGUUUCAGCAUAACACACAAAAUAUUUGUUAAGCCAUACCUGCAAAUUGAUUGUGGGUAUACCCUUUCUCCCUAUGAAGUCUUCCACGUGAUCAUUUGGCUUUUUUAUGUGCACGUGUGUGCCAUCAAUACAUCCCAAUGUGCUUGGGAAACCUGAAAGUUAAUCAUUUAAAAUUAAGAUAUUUCGGGGAAAAUUUAAAUAUUAAUAAAUAAAUGGAUUUUGGUUUAAAUGUAAUGUUAUUUGUGACUGUAUGUCUGUAAUAUGGAAUGAAAGUUUUACCUAAAGUCAGUUAGAAGUUAUGUAAUAUGCUGACGUGUCUUGAAUUGAUUAUCAAAUUUAAUAUCAUCAUUAUUGAAAAUGCAAUUAAUACGGUCACGUGAGAAUAAAAUAAUGUUUACAGCUGU